rnacentral:rRNA from 1 species
GGGGAAUAUUGCACAAUGGGGGAAACCCUGAUGCAGCGACGCCGCGUGGAGGAAGAAGGUCUUCGGAUUGUAAACUCCUGUUGUUGGGGAAGAUAAUGACGGUACCCAACAAGGAAGUGACGGCUAACUACGUGCCAGCAGCCGCGGUAAAACGUAGGUCACAAGCGUUGUCCGGAAUUACUGGGUGUAAAGGGAGCGCAGGCGGGAAGACAAGUUGGAAGUGAAAUCUAUGGGCUCAACCCAUAAACUGCUUUCAAAACUGUUUUUCUUGAGUAGUGCAGAGGUAGGCGGAAUUCCCGGUGUAGCGGUGGAAUGCGUAGAUAUCGGGAGGAACACCAGUGGCGAAGGCGGCCUACUGGGCACCAACUGACGCUGAGGCUCGAAAGUGUGGGUAGCAAACAGGAUUAGAUACCCUGGUAGUCCACACCGUAAACGAUGAUUACUAGGUGUUGGAGGAUUGACCCCUUCAGUGCCGCAGUUAACACAAUAAGUAAUCCACCUGGGGAGUACGACCGCAAGGUUGAAACUCAAAGGAAUUGACGGGGGCCCGCACAAGCAGUGGAGUAUGUGGUUUAAUUCGACGCAACGCGAAGAACCUUACCAAGUCUUGACAUCCCUUGACAGACAUAGAAAUAUGUAAUCUCUUCGGAGCAAGGAGACAGGUGGUGCAUGGUUGUCGUCAGCUCGUGUCGUGAGAUGUUGGGUUAAGUCCCGCAACGAGCGCAACCCUUAUGGUCAGUUACUACGCAAGAGGACUCUGGCCAGACUGCCGUUGACAAAACGGAGGAAGGUGGGGAUGACGUCAAAUCAUCAUGCCCUUUAUGACUUGGGCUACACACGUACUACAAUGGCGUUAAACAAAGAGAAGCAAGACCGCGAGGUGGAGCAAAACUCAGAAACAACGUCCCAGUUCGGACUGCAGGCUGCAACUCGACUGCACGAAGCUGGAAUCGCUAGUAAUCGCGGAUCAGAAUGCCGCGGUGAAUACGUUCCCG